rnacentral:lncRNA from 11 species
GCCGUGAUUGGAGCGCCUGAUUCAUGUUCACGAGAGAUUUGACGUUGUCCUCUCCUCUCCCAGGGCUGUUGUUGCGUCCGCUGCUUCUCAGGGCGACCAUCGAUGAAGUGGAAACAGAUGUGGUGGAAAUCGAAGCCAAGCUUGACAAGGUGAGCCAGAGAAGAGAUUUGAGUCCGAUGCAAGGAUUCAGUGUCUAUACCGUAUAGCCAGU